GGAUAAUCGUAGACUAAGAAGAGAGGACGUAAACACAUUCAUUGAAUUGGACAGCUUUGUUAGCAAGAAGCGGUUAGCGGAACUCAGUUCCACGAGCUACUUCUUUGAAGUCUUUUUCUGGGACUAGAGGCCUUUGGGAUUGAUGCCGAGACUAGAUUCGAAACUAGAGAUUGCUCUUCUUCUUAUUCACACCGAAGUGCGCAAUAAGGAAUGGCGGGAUGGAUUACUUGUCUAUAAAGGCUGGGCAUCUCAGGGAAAUGUUAACCACAUAGGGAUGCCUUCAGUCUCUUUCCGGACCUACUCAUCGAAAGAUGCCCAAGCUCUUUGAUAGAAGAAGCUUCAAAUGCGCAGUUAGGACAAA
rnacentral:misc_RNA from 1 species